rnacentral:rRNA from 1 species
UAGAGUUUGAUCCUGGCUCAGGACGAACGCUGGCGGCGUGCUUAACACAUGCAAGUCGAACGAUGAACCUGGAGCUUGCUCUAGGGAAUUAGUGGCGAACGGGUGAGUAACACGUGAGUAACCUGCCCUUGACUCUGGGAUAACCUCCGGAAACGGAAGCUAAUACCGGAUAUGACGCACGGAGGCAUCUCCUGUGCGUGGAAAGAACUUCGGUCAAGGAUGGACUCGCGGCCUAUCAGGUAGUUGGUGAGGUAACGGCUCACCAAGCCUACGACGGGUAGCCGGCCUGAGAGGGUGACCGGCCACACUGGGACUGAGACACGGCCCAGACUCCUACGGGAGGCAGCAGUGGGGAAUAUUGCACAAUGGGCGCAAGCCUGAUGCAGCAACGCCGCGUGAGGGACGACGGCCUUCGGGUUGUAAACCUCUUUUAGUAGGGAAGAAGCGAAAGUGACGGUACCUGCAGAAAAAGCACCGGCUAACUACGUGCCAGCAGCCCCGGUCAA